UGUCUCAGAACAGUUUCCUUAGCUCUUUUUUGGUGUUGUUAGUAGAUUCCCACUCCUCUCCUAUCCUUUGGACAGAGACAGAUGGUGGGAGAGAUCUCACAGUACCUUAGAAAUAGCUUAACACAAACUCUAUUUCUAUAGAAGAGCAUUCUUUUUAGAGAAACUGGAGCUGAAGACUAGAAAUAGCAGUGGAGGAACAGAGUGAUGAAUGGGAAAUCAUUAAUAUGCCGACACCAUUAACAGAUGCAUCAUGAAACAGUAAUGAUGGAGUAUACAACAGGCAGAAUAUCACCGUGGCUAUCAUGGGCUGCACUCUCAGGCAAUUACAUGGAAGUUGGCUAAGUAAAUGUUUUUCCUUCAGUUUGUGGCUCUUUGAACAAGAAUGUUCUUUGUUUUUUGAAGAAAUAAAGGCCACUUUGCCUACUUUU